AUUGAACGCUGGCGGCAGGCCUAACACAUGCAAGUCGAACGAGUGGCGGACGGGUGAGUAAUGCCUGGGAAACUGGCUGAUGGAGGGGGAUAACUACUGGAAACGGUAGCUAAUACCGCAUACCAUCAGAUGUGCCCAAUGGGGAUUAGCUAGUUGGUGAGGUAAAGGCUCACCAAGCCGACGAUCUCUAGCUGGUCUGAGAGGAUGACCAGCCACACGGGAACUGAGACACGGUCCAGACUCCUACGGGAGGCAGCAGUGGGGAAUAUUGCGCAAUGGGCGCAACCCUGACGCAGCAAUGCCGCGUGUAUGAAGAAGGCCUUCGGGUUGUAAAGUACUUUCGGUGGGGAGGCGUUACCUGCAGAAGAAGCACCGGCUAACUCCGUGCCAGCAGCCGCGGUAAUUC
rnacentral:rRNA from 1 species